GCCGCAAGCCCCGCCCACCAACCGAAAGGCCCAGUCAAGGGUGGACUUCCGGUGAACGCCGUCCCCGCCCACCGCCCGCCAGUCUAGUCAGGAAACCCCACCCCCGCCUGGAAGCUGGUUCCGGGCGAACCUAGCUGUGGCCGCCGCUGCCUCCGCGCAGACGCGCCCCGAGUUAUUUACUUUCGUUUCCGCGGCAAGCUUCCCGAGGCCUGGAGUCAGCCGGGAGGCCAAAAGAGGACAUGUUACCUAAUCAUAGAAACCGCCGCCGCUGGGGAGAAGCAGCUUGGUCUAGGGGGGGAAGAUUUUAUGGCUGCAAUUUGGAUACUGCAAAAAGGAGGAGCCUCUGAGAGCUCUGGAUUACCCUCUGGCCCUAACCCCGCAUUCCUGACGUGGCCCUCCCCAGCCAAGGAGGAACCAAGAAAGGUCGGCUGUCCUGCAGCUGCGGCCCGAGCCCGCGCGAUGGCGCUGUAGAGAGCCAGCCCGCCCUACCUCAAACGCGCCUGGCUGGAGACAUCCGCCCGCACCAGCUUGGCCACGAAGCCUUCAUUUUCUUCCAGUUAACCCGUGGGUCCCUAAAUGCCUUUAUUAGUUAAAAUCCGCCCCCUCCAACUACCCUUAAAUUACACAAGAACCUGAGGGGUUUUCUCAGGAUUUUUGCUUCCAAACCUUAAGACUUGGAAAGUUGUCUCCCUCCGCCACCACCGGUGCUCCUGACCCUGACAUUUUGGGGUCACUGCGGAGUUUACCGACCACAUACAGGGCCUCUCCGACGUUUGUUCGCUGGGACGGACAUGCCUUAGGUGGUUCAGAGCAUUCACGGCCCUCAGGUUCCCCGCAGUGGGCUCCUA